rnacentral:rRNA from 1 species
CAGUCGCCACGGGAAUACGUAGGUGGCAAGCGUUGUCCGGAAUUAUUGGGCGUAAAGCGCGCGCAGGCGGAUCAGUUAGUCUGUCUUAAAAGUGCGGGACUCAACCCCGUGAGGGGAUGGAAACUGUAUGCCUUGAGUGCAGGAGAGGAAAGCGGAAUUCCCAGUGUAGCGGUGAAAUGCGUAGAUAUUAGGAGGAACACCGGUGGCGAAAGCGGCUUUCUGGACGACAACUGACGCUGAGGCGCGAAAGCCAGGGGAGCAAACGGGAUUAGAUACCCCCGUAGUCCCUGUCUCUUAUACC